rnacentral:rRNA from 1 species
UACGUAGGCAGCAAGCGUUGUUCGGAGUUACUGGGCGUAAAGGGUGUGUAGGCGGUUCUUUAAGUUUGGUGUGAAAUCUCCCGGCUCAACUGGGAGGGUGCGCCGAAAACUGGGAGGCUAGAGUGCGGGAUGGGAGAGUGGAAUUCCUGGUGUAGCGGUGAAAUGCGUAGAUAUCAGGAGGAACACCUGUGGUGUAGACGGCUCUCUGGACCGCAACUGACGCUGAGACACGAAAGCGUGGGUAGCAAACAGG